GAGGAAUGGAGGAAAAGAGCACUUGGAGAGACAACUGGAAUGGAGGACAUUUGGGUAGUCAAUGUGGAAACCUAGUGAAGUAGAAACUACAAGGGUAACUCGAUGGAGGACUCCUAGUGAUGGAGGAUAGAGAGCCUGAACCAGGCAUUUUCUGUAACCAGGCAACUUCUAGUGGGCUCAGGAAGCUUUGGUGGAGGAAGAGGGGUGGAAAAAAGCAGGAGAACCUCACCUAAGAAGGGCUCAGAGGGGCUUCCAGAGACUGAAGUAACCA
rnacentral:lncRNA from 1 species